GCGCUCCCUUUAAAGAGCCGCAUGGAGUGUGUAUGCGGCUCUUGGGGGGGUUUUCCCCGAGGAGGGAGAAGGGCUCCCCCAAAAGCUGCACACACGCUCCGCAAGCUCUUUAAAGGGAGCG